rnacentral:rRNA from 1 species
AGCGUACACGGUGGAUGCCCUGGCAGUCAGAGGCGAUGAAGGACGUGCUAAUCUGCGAUAAGCGUCGGUAAGGUGAUAUGAACCGUUAUAACCGGCGAUUUCCGAAUGGGGAAACCCAGUGUGAUUCGUCACACUAUCAUUAACUGAAUCCAUAGGUUAAUGAGGCGAACCGGGGGAACUGAAACAUCUAAGUACCCCGAGGAAAAGAAAUCAACCGAGAUUCCCCCAGUAGCGGCGAGCGAACGGGGAGCAGCCCAGAGCCUGAAUCAGUGUGUGUGUUAGUGGAAGCGUCUGGAAAGGCGUGCGAUACAGGGUGACAGCCCCGUACACAAAAAUGCACAUGCUGUGAGCUCGAUGAGUAGGGCGGGACACGUGGUAUCCUGUCUGAAUAUGGGGGGACCAUCCUCCAAGGCUAAAUACUCCUGACUGACCGAUAGUGAACCAGUACCGUGAGGGAAAGGCGAAAAGAACCCCGGCGAGGGGAGUGAAAAAGAACCUGAAACCGUGUACGUACAAGCAGUGGGAGCACAGAGCAAUCUGUGUGACUGCGUACCUUUUGUAUAAUGGGUCAGCGACUUAUAUUCUGUAGCAAGGUUAACCGAAUAGGGGAGCCGAAGGGAAACCGAGUCUUAACUGGGCGUUAAGUUGCAGGGUAUAGACCCGAAACCCGGUGAUCUAGCCAUGGGCAGGUUGAAGGUUGGGUAACACUAACUGGAGGACCGAACCGACUAAUGUUGAAAAAUUAGCGGAUGACUUGUGGCUGGGGGUGAAAGGCCAAUCAAACCGGGAGAUAGCUGGUUCUCCCCGAAAGCUAUUUAGGUAGCGCCUCGUGAAUUCAUCUCCGGGGGUAGAGCACUGUUUCGGCAAGGGGGUCAUCCCGACUUACCAACCCGAUGCAAACUGCGAAUACCGGAGAAUGUUAUCACGGGAGACACACGGCGGGUGCUAACGUCCGUCGUGAAGAGGGAAACAACCCAGACCGCCAGCUAAGGUCCCAAAGUCAUGGUUAAGUGGGAAACGAUGUGGGAAGGCCCAGACAGCCAGGAUGUUGGCUUAGAAGCAGCCAUCAUUUAAAGAAAGCGUAAUAGCUCACUGGUCGAGUCGGCCUGCGCGGAAGAUGUAACGGGGCUAAACCAUGCACCGAAGCUGCGGCAGCGACGCUUAUGCGUUGUUGGGUAGGGGAGCGUUCUGUAAGCCUGCGAAGGUGUGCUGUGAGGCAUGCUGGAGGUAUCAGAAGUGCGAAUGCUGACAUAAGUAACGAUAAAGCGGGUGAAAAGCCCGCUCGCCGGAAGACCAAGGGUUCCUGUCCAACGUUAAUCGGGGCAGGGUGAGUCGACCCCUAAGGCGAGGCCGAAAGGCGUAGUCGAUGGGAAACAGGUUAAUAUUCCUGUACUUGGUGUUACUGCGAAGGGGGGACGGAGAAGGCUAUGUUGGCCGGGCGACGGUUGUCCCGGUUUAAGCGUGUAGGCUGGUUUUCCAGGCAAAUCCGGAAAAUCAAGGCUGAGGCGUGAUGACGAGGCACUACGGUGCUGAAGCAACAAAUGCCCUGCUUCCAGGAAAAGCCUCUAAGCAUCAGGUAACAUCAAAUCGUACCCCAAACCGACACAGGUGGUCAGGUAGAGAAUACCAAGGCGCUUGAGAGAACUCGGGUGAAGGAACUAGGCAAAAUGGUGCCGUAACUUCGGGAGAAGGCACGCUGAUAUGUAGGUGAAGUCCCUCGCGGAUGGAGCUGAAAUCAGUCGAAGAUACCAGCUGGCUGCAACUGUUUAUUAAAAACACAGCACUGUGCAAACACGAAAGUGGACGUAUACGGUGUGACGCCUGCCCGGUGCCGGAAGGUUAAUUGAUGGGGUUAGCGCAAGCGAAGCUCUUGAUCGAAGCCCCGGUAAACGGCGGCCGUAACUAUAACGGUCCUAAGGUAGCGAAAUUCCUUGUCGGGUAAGUUCCGACCUGCACGAAUGGCGUAAUGAUGGCCAGGCUGUCUCCACCCGAGACUCAGUGAAAUUGAACUCGCUGUGAAGAUGCAGUGUACCCGCGGCAAGACGGAAAGACCCCGUGAACCUUUACUAUAGCUUGACACUGAACAUUGAGCCUUGAUGUGUAGGAUAGGUGGGAGGCUUUGAAGUGUGGACGCCAGUCUGCAUGGAGCCGACCUUGAAAUACCACCCUUUAAUGUUUGAUGUUCUAACGUUGACCCGUGAUCCGGGUUGCGGACAGUGUCUGGUGGGUAGUUUGACUGGGGCGGUCUCCUCCUAAAGAGUAACGGAGGAGCACGAAGGUUGGCUAAUCCUGGUCGGACAUCAGGAGGUUAGUGCAAUGGCAUAAGCCAGCUUGACUGCGAGCGUGACGGCGCGAGCAGGUGCGAAAGCAGGUCAUAGUGAUCCGGUGGUUCUGAAUGGAAGGGCCAUCGCUCAACGGAUAAAAGGUACUCCGGGGAUAACAGGCUGAUACCGCCCAAGAGUUCAUAUCGACGGCGGUGUUUGGCACCUCGAUGUCGGCUCAUCACAUCCUGGGGCUGAAGUAGGUCCCAAGGGUAUGGCUGUUCGCCAUUUAAAGUGGUACGCGAGCUGGGUUUAGAACGUCGUGAGACAGUUCGGUCCCUAUCUGCCGUGGGCGCUGGAGAACUGAGGGGGGCUGCUCCUAGUACGAGAGGACCGGAGUGGACGCAUCACUGGUGUUCGGGUUGUCAUGCCAAUGGCACUGCCCGGUAGCUAAAUGCGGAAGAGAUAAGUGCUGAAAGCAUCUAAGCACGAAACUUGCCCCGAGAUGAGUUCUCCCUGACUCCUUGA